CCUACGGGUGGCAGCAGUGGGGAAUAUUGGGCAAUGGGCGCAAGCCUGACCCAGCAACGCCGCGUGAAGGAAGAAUGCCCUCGGGUUGUAAACUUCUUUUAUCAGGGACGAAGCAAGUGACGGUAACUGCUGAAUAAGCUAAGGCUAACUACGUGCCAGCAGCCGCGGUAAUACGUAGGUGGCAAGCGUUAUUCGGAUUUACUGGGUGUAAAGGGCGUGUAGGCGGGAUAGCAAGUCAGAUGUGAAAACCAUUGGCUCAACCUGGGGACUGCAGUUGAUACUGUUUGUCUUGAGUACUGGAGAGGCAGACGGAAUUCCUGGUGUAGCGGUGAAAUGCGUAGAUAUUAGGAGGAACACCAGUGGCGAAGGCGGUUUGCUGGACAGCAACUGACGCUGAGGCGCGAAAGCGUGGGGAGCAAACAGGAUUAGAUACCCCAGUAGUC
rnacentral:rRNA from 1 species